GGGUCAGUAGGUUGGUCGUGCCACCGGUACGUACUGGUCUCACUGAUUCCUCCUUCCUGAAGAACCUUAAUGCCAUUAAUUUGGUGUUGCGGGGGAACAGGACUGUUACUUUGAAAAAAUUAGAGUGUUUAAAGCAAGCUAACGCUUGAAUACAUUAGCAUGGAAUAAUGAAAUAGGACGAUCGAUCCUAUUUUGUUGGUCUCUAGGAUUGACGUA
rnacentral:rRNA from 1 species